rnacentral:lncRNA from 1 species
GCUGAAUCAUGAUGAUGGCUAUUUUAUCUUUCGAUUUGAAUCAGUAGAUGAUUGUGAUAGGGUGCUAAUGGGUGGACCAUAUACUUUUCAUAACAAACCUUUCAUUGUGUAAGCUUGGGACAUUGAUUUCAAAUUCAACCCAGAUAGUAUCACUACUAUACCCCUGUGGGUUACUUUCCCUGGGCUACCGGUGGGACACUGGUCUAGCGAAUCUCUUAGUAAAGUAGUAAGUGCCAUUGGCAAGCCAAAGUACACAAACCAGUUUACUGCCAACAU